UACGAAGGGGGCUAGCGUUGCUCGGAAUCACUGGGCGUAAAGGGUGCGUAGGCGGGUUUUUAAGUCAGAGGUGAAAUCCUGGAGCUCAACUCCAGAACUGCCUUUGAUACUGAAAGUCUUGAGUAUGGGAGAGGUGAGUGGAACUGCGAGUGUAGAGGUGAAAUUCGUAGAUAUUCGCAAGAACACCAGUGGCGAAGGCGGCUCACUGGCCCAUUACUGACGCUGAGGCACGAAAGCGUGGGGGGCAAACAGG
rnacentral:rRNA from 1 species